GAGGUGGUGCAAUGGGUCAGUGCAUCUGGCUGUUAAUCAAAAGGCUGGUGGUUUGAGCCUACCCAGGGACG